UGGGGAAUUUUGGACAAUGGGCGCAAGCCUGAUCCAGCCAUUCCGCGUGCAGGAUGAAGGCCUUCGGGUUGUAAACUGCUUUUGUACGGAACGAAGCGGUUCUCUCUAAUACAGGGGGCUAAUGACGGUACCGUAAGAAUAAGCACCGGCUAACUACGUGCCAGCAGCCGCGGUAAUACGUAGGGUGCAAGCGUUAAUCGGAAUUACUGGGCGUAAAGCGUGCGCAGGCGGUUUUGUAAGACAGAGGUGAAAUCCCCGGGCUCAACCUGGGAACUGCCUUUGUGACUGCAAGGCUGGAGUACGGCAGAGGGGGAUGGAAUUCCGCGUGUAGCAGUGAAAUGCGUAGAUAUGCGGAGGAACACCGAUGGCGAAGGCAAUCCCCUGGGCCUGUACUGACGCUCAUGCACGAAAGCGUGGGGAGCAAACAGGAUUAGAUACCCUGGUAGUCCACGCCCUAAACGAUGUCAACUGGUUGUUGGGUCUUCACUGACUCAGUAACGAAGCUAACGCGUGAAGUUGACCGCCUGGGGAGUACGGCCGCAAGGUUG
rnacentral:rRNA from 1 species